CACCACCUGGUCAUUAAACUAGCCACCACCUGGUCAUUAAACUAGCCACCACCUGGUCGUUAAACUAGCCACCACCUGGUCAUUAAACUAAACCACCUGGUCAUUAAACUAGCCACCACCUGGUCAUUAAACUAGCCACCACCUGGUCAUUAAACUAAACCACCUGGUCAUUAAACUAAACCACCUGGUCAUUAAACUAAACCACCUGGUCAUUAAACUAGCCACCACCUGGUCAUUAAACUAAACCACCUGGUCAUUAAACUAAACCACCUGGUCGGGACCAGGUACAUACAGGCCAGGUUAGGACCAGGUACAUACAGGUCAGGACCAGGUACAUACAGGUCAGGUCAGGACCAGGUACGUACAGGUCAGAACCAGGUACAUACAGGUCAGGUCAGGACCAGGUACAUACAGGUCAGGACCAGGUACAUACAGGUCAGGACCAGGUACAAACAGGUCAGGACCAGGUACAUACAGGUCAGGUUAGGACCAGGUACAUACAGGUCAGGACCAGGUACAAACAGGUUAGGACCAGGUACAUACAGGUCAGGACCAGGUACAUACAGGUCAGGUUAGGACCAGGUACAUACAGGUCAGGACCAGGUACAUACAGGUCAGGACCAGGUACAUACAGAUCAGGACCAGGUACAUACAGGUCAGGACCAGGUACAUACAGGUCAGGUUAGGACCAGGUACAUACAGGUCAGGACCAGGUACAUACAGGUCAGGACCAGGUACAUACAGGUCAGGUCAGGACCAGGUACAAACAGGUGAGGACCAGGUACAUACAGGUCAGGACCAGGUACAAACAGGUCAGGACCAGGUACAAACAGGUCAGGUCAGGACCAGGUACAAACAGGUCAGGACCAGGUACAUACAGGUCAGGACCAGGUACAAACAGGUCAGGACCAGGUACAUACAGGUCAGGACCAGGUACAUACAGGUCAGUACCAGGUACAUACAGGUCAGGUUAGGACCAGGUACAUACAGGUCAGGACCAGGUACAUACAGGUCAGGACCAGGUACAAACAGGUCAGGACCAGGUACAUACAGGUCAGGACCAGGUACAUACAGGUCAGGACCAGGUACAUACAGGUCAGGACCAGGUACAUACAGGUCAGGUCAGGACCAGGUACAUACAGGUCAGGACCAGGUACAUACAGGUCAGGUCAGGACCAGGUACGUACAGGUCAGGACCAGGUACAUACAGGUCAGGUUAGGACCAGGUACAUACAGGUCAGGUCAGGACCAGGUACAUACAGGUCAGGACCAGGUACAGGUAGUGCUAAACAGAUGGAACCAUUCUCCAGACCGGCUGUAUGUUGACGUCAUGGAGAUAGCAUAGAGAUACGUUAACGUUUAUGAUUGACAGAUGAAACAGACUGAGGUGGUUGUGCAGGUCAGGUCCUGAUGAGCAGAUAGAAACCACAUCUCAGCAGACUGUAUAGGGCCACUCAGGGUCUAUCCAGGGUGACCAUGACACAUUUAGGCCCAGUUCCCUCCUUUGACUAUGUUUUUUAAAAUUUUAUUAGUCUAGGACAAUGUUUAAUCAGUGUCCAGGAAACUGGCCUUUUUUUGUUUGUUUUAGGUGUGACCAAUGGCAAUAACAUUUAACACUUAUUGAGGAUGUCCAUGUUGACUCAAUACACUAGGAGUUAAUAUAAUAAAUAGUAAUUCAUAUAAAUAAUUAAUAAAAAUAGGUCUGGUCAACCAUUUAUGAUGUUUUGUUUUGAGGAAGAAUUAGGACUCUUUUUACCUGUUGUCUUUCGUCAAUCUCUGAUUGUACAUUUGAGUGUAAAUAAAUCAAACACACACAGCAGAAAGCAUGUUUUCCGUCUUUACUCUUCCUUUCCCUUCCUUUCCCUUCCUUCCUUCCUUCCUUCCUUCCUUCCUUCCUUCCUUCCUUCCUUCCUUCCUUCCUUCCUUCCUUCCUUCCUUCCUUCCUUCCUUCCUUCCUUCCUUCCUUCCUUCCUUCCUUCCUUCCUUCCUUCCUUCCUUCCACUCUCUCUUUCUCUUCUCUCCUUACCUUUUUUUUGUAAUGGUCAUCUGUAACCAGUAGCAUAGAAGCAUAGAAGCGCUAGAAACAAACGAGGAAUGGAAUAAUACACAUGUACUGUCUGUAAAAAAACAUAUGUCUUUCUUGGCACUUUCCCCUGGGAUAUGAAGCUAAUAAACACUAUUAUAAAAGAA
rnacentral:lncRNA from 1 species